GAGAGCUCUGUGCUUACUGGACAGAGUCAGACUACCUUUCCUGCGAUUCAGAGGGAGCCGAUGGCGUCUUUUCCUGCGAUUCAAACAGAGUUGAAUACAGCGUUUUGUGAACCCGCUGUUAGGAGCCACUGACCCAUGCUAUAAGACCAUCACCUGCUUGACCCGCUGCCUGGGCUGCCUGGACAGGCGUAGCUAAAGGGAGAUGUACCGUCUAAGGCUUCUGUGGCUGGAGCUGACAGGUGGGUGUGGUACACCUGUGGCUCGUUCAGUGGCGUGCGGCCCCGCCACAUAAGCAGCUCUCGGACAGCUGAUGGACGCCAGAGUGUUAACCUUGUUGGUCGCUUCUCAUUAUGGAAAACCUUUCCAGCUGUCCCUCAUGCUCAGACGUCGUCAGUGGAAGAUCUCAUGUUCUGACUGUUCUGGAUCCUCCUCCGAACAAUCCCUCCAGCUCUCCUGGUGGUACCAAGCCGGGCUGGAGACCCUGCCAAGUCCCUCUGGUUCCAUCAGCUGCCCCCAUAUCCCUCCUCGGCCCCUGCUGCUCGGGGCCCUCCUCAUGGACUUUCAUCAGCUGCCCACCUGUCACUCAGUCACCUGGCAACAUCUCGAAGAGCUUCCCCACUGAGUCCGUCUCUCCACUCCCCCCGGCCCGGUUCCAUCAUCCGGUGAUAGCUUUCAUUAACAUUCCCUCUCACUCGUUCUCCCGAUCUCCCAGACGUGUCUAAGUUUUGCUCUCACCACAGAUUGAUCAAGUCCCGCCUAACCCGUUUACUCUACCGAUCCUCAGCUUCCAGUGUCCGUGUUCCUUGCUGUUUGUUUAAUAAACAUCUGAAACUGCUCUUGCCUCCUGUGUUAGUUCUGCAUGUGGGUCAAGCACCUAAAAACCAUGACAGUUUCCCUUAUCCA